rnacentral:snRNA from 1 species
AGACCUGUCUUCAAUUGUUGAACAAAUCUUUUGCCUUUUACCAAAGAUUUCCAUGAUGAAAUACUUUAAUAGAUUUAUAUUUGUUAUUUACAUGCCUUUUGUAUAG